GCCCGCAGCUGCCCUCCUUCAGUCCUCCAUCCUCUCACGCCCCCUCCCGCACAGCCCCCUCCCGCACAGCCCCCUCCAUGCUUCCUCCUCAUCACCGUAGCCGCCGCAUUCCUCCCUCUUCCUCUUCCUCAUCACCACAGCCGCUCUAGUCGUGGCGAAUCUGACGCCUGCAGGCAGACGCAACAGGAGUUCGUGGAGCGGCGGAUGCAGACGGGGUCGUUGACGGAGCUGCAGGAGCAAGGAGCUCGAGUUGGUGCGCCAUGAGGAGUGGAAGGCCGAGUUCGUGCGACGACCAGAGCAACAGGAGCAAGGAGCCUCCUCUCUCUCCCUCUCAGUGGUUGAGGACUUCCUCAAGAAGAAAGAAGAAGGCCAAAUAGAAGAAGAAUUUGGCUCAAAGGUCUUGCGGAGAGUGCAUAAUGUCCCCUCAGGUUUGAAUUGCUCUGAAGUUAUCAUGGCAUUUCCUUAUAGGGCUUGUUCACAUUUAUUCAUGGAAGGUGAACUACCUGUUUCAAGAUUGUAACCCACCUAAAAAAUCCCUUCUGCCUUCCUGUUUUUGUUUGUGUAUGUCGCUCUGUAAAGAUUGGUCAGCCUGACCAUGAAAGGGUGCUUCAGAUUAGAAAAGAAUGGUUUUUCUUUGUGUAAUUUUCAGGACAAAGGAGGCUGUGGAGGAACUCAUAAAUGCCGUGCUAAAUUAUUAAUUAGCCGUAUUCUUGAUUUUUCAUUUUUUAAAGAUAAUUGAGUAACAAGUCAUGUAGAGUUACUACCGUAUUAGUAUAUUUCUAACUGCA